rnacentral:tRNA from 1 species
GAAAAAGUCAUCGUCUAACGGUAAGACACCCGGCCUUGGAUCGGGGGAUGUCAGUUCGAAUCUGACGACCUUUCA